rnacentral:tRNA from 2 species
GCCUAGGUAGCUCAGUUGGUAGAGCAGAGGACUGAAAAUCCUCGUGUCGGUGGUUCGAUUCCGCCCCUGGGCACCA